AUAAAGGUCGAACAAAGGUUUCUAGGGUGAACCUGCGGAAGGAUCAUU
rnacentral:rRNA from 1 species